rnacentral:rRNA from 1 species
GACGAACGCUGGCGGCGUGCUUAACACAUGCAAGUCGAACGGUGAAGCGCCUUCCUUUUUGGUGGGUGUGGAUGAGUGGCGAACGGGUGAGUAACACGUGAGUAACCUGCCCCCUUCUUCUGGAUAACCGCAUGAAAGUGUGGCUAAUACGGGAUAUUCUGGGUCUGUCGCAUGAUGGGUCUGGGAAAGAUAUUGUUUCGGUGGGGGAUGGGCUCGCGGCCUAUCAGCUUGUUGGUGGGGUGAUGGCCUACCAAGGCGGUGACGGGUAGCCGGCCUGAGAGGGUGGACGGCCACACUGGGACGGAGACACGGCCCAGACUCCUACGGGAGGCAGCAGUGGGGAAGAUGGCACAAUGGGCGCAAGCCUGAUGCAGCGACGCCGCGUGAGGGAUGGAGGCCUUCGGGUGGUGAACCUCUUUCGCCAGUGAAGCAGGCCUGCCUCGUUUGUGGGUGGGUUGACGGUAGCUGGAUAAGAAGCGCCGGCUAACUACGU